rnacentral:misc_RNA from 1 species
UCCUGGCAAGGCAAGUGUAACUGAGCACAGUUAAACUUCAAGCAACAAACAAUCAAAUGGCAGCAGUUUGGAGAAUCGUUUCGCCAACUUCGGUCUUGGAUAUCGAAAAUCCCAAAAAUGAGUACCGGGUAUAAAAACUGGGAUAAGUAUGUAGAAAUAGUAGGCUGUUGAAUCGAACAAAACUUAGAAAAAAUCCGAACAGGGAAAAUAUUCUCGGAAAUAUCCAUUCAGUCCCCAGGUCUCGGCUGGGGAACAUCAAAAUUUUGAGGUGAUUUUUUUUAGUAAGCUAAAGUUAUAUCAAGCAAACAAAAUAAAACAAAAAAACUUUCCGCACUCUUACUGCAGGAUAUAGCCGUAAAUCCAUAUCCACAUCCACAGGUUUGUUGUUUUUUGAUUUUGGUAUAACGCAGAAUAAAGAAGACACAGAAAAGGAAAGGUAGCUGCUGUUGGAGCUUUGCUGGUUACACACAAUUGUUAAACAUUCAUUUCAACUCCCUCUGGAACUGGAACUGGAAUCGGGUUAUUGCAUCCUGGCUAAUAGCACUCAAUAAAUACACUAAAUAGAAGCAGCCAUUAUCUGGAAAAAAAGGCUCUGCUCUUGAUGGUACUGACAUUCGUCGCUUUGGAGGUGGGCUCGAAUGUUCGUAAUCGGGUUAUUGCAUCCUGGCUAAUAGCACUCAAUAAAUACACUAAAUAGAAGCAGCCAUUAUCUGGAAAAAAAGGCUCUGCUCUUGAUGGUACUGACAUUCGCCGCUUUGGAGGUGGGCUCGAAUGUUCGUGGAUCGCAUCAAUACGAUUAUUAAUGGAAUUUAAAGGCUUUUAUGGUUAAUAGUUAAAAUCAUUA